UACGUAGGGGGCAAGCGUUGUCCGGAUUUAUUGGGCGUAAAGAGCGUGUAGGCGGCCAUACAGGUCAGCUGUGAAAACUCGAGGCUCAACCUCGAGACGUCGGUUGAAACCGUAUGGCUAGAGUCCGGAAGAGGAGAGUGGAAUUCCCGGUGUAGCGGUGAAAUGCGCAGAUAUCGGGAAGAACACCCGUGGCGAAGGCGGCUCUCUGGGCCAUUACUGACGCUGAGGAGCGAAAGCGUGGGGAGCGAACAGG
rnacentral:rRNA from 1 species